CCUACGGGUGGCACCAGUGGGGAAUUUUGGACAAUGGGGGGAACCCUGAUCCAGCCAUCCCGCGUGUAUGAUGAAGGCCUUCGGGUUGUAAAGUACUUUUGGCAGAGAAGAAAAGGCAUCCCCUAAUACGGGAUGCUGCUGACGGUAUCUGCAGAAUAAGCACCGGCUAACUACGUGCCAGCAGCCGCGGUAAUACGUAGGGUGCAAGCGUUAAUCGGAAUUACUGGGCGUAAAGCGUGUGUAGGCGGUUCGGAAAGAAAGAUGUGAAAUCCCAGGGCUCAACCUUGGAACUGCAUUUUUAACUGCCGAGCUAGAGUAUGUCAGAGGGGGGUAGAAUUCCACGUGUAGCAGUGAAAUGCGUAGAUAUGUGGAGGAAUACCGAUGGCGAAGGCAGCCCCCUGGGAUAAUACUGACGCUCAGACACGAAAGCGUGGGGAGCAAACAGGAUUAGAUACCCUAGUAGUC
rnacentral:rRNA from 1 species